GACGAACGCUGGCGGCGUGCUUAACACGUGCAAGUCGAACGGGAACCUUUAUUUCGGUAAAGGUGAGAGUGGCAAACGGGUGAGUAACACGUAGGCAACCUGCCGACAGGAUGGGGACAACAUUCCGAAAGGAAUGCUAAUACCGAAUGGAGUCCGGGGAUGGCAUCAUCCCUGGAUAAAAGAUGGCCUCUGAAUAUGCUAUCGCCUGUCGAUGGGCCUGCGUCUGAUUAGCCAGUUGGCGGGGUAACGGCCCACCAAAGCGACGAUCAGUAGCCGGUCUGAGAGGAUGAACGGCCACAUUGGGACUGAGACACGGCCCAGACUCCUACGGGAGGCAGCAGUGGGGAAUCUUCCACAAUGGGCGAAAGCCUGAUGGAGCAACGCCGCGUGAGUGAAGAAGGUCUUCGGAUCGUAAAGCUCUGUUGCACGGGACG
rnacentral:rRNA from 1 species